AUUCUGGUUGAUCCUGCCAGUAGUUAUAUGCUUGUCUCAAAGAUUAAGCCAUGCAUGUCUAAGUACACACGAAUUAAAAGUGAAACCGCAAAAGGCUCAUUAUAUCAGUUAUGGUUCCUUAGAUCGUUAACAGUUACUUGGAUAACUGUGGUAAUUCUAGAGCUAAUACAUGCAAUUAAAACAUGAACCUUAUGGGACAUGUGCUUUUAUUAGGCUAAAACCAAGCGAUCGCAAGAUCGUUAUAUUGGUUGAACUCUAGAUAACAUGCAGAUCGUAUGGUCUUGUACCGACGACAGAUCUUUCAAAUGUCUGCCCUAUCAACUUUUGAUGGUAGUAUCUAGGACUACCAUGGUUGCAACGGGUAACGGGGAAUCAGGGUUCGAUUCCGGAGAGGGAGCCUGAGAAACGGCUACCACAUCUAAGGAAGGCAGCAGGCGCGUAAAUUACCCACUCCCAGCUCGGGGAGGUAGUGACGAAAAAUAACAAUACAGGACUCAUAUCCGAGGCCCUGUAAUUGGAAUGAGUACACUUUAAAUCCUUUAACAAGGACCAAUUGGAGGGCAAGUCUGGUGCCAGCAGCCGCGGUAAUUCCAGCUCCAAUAGCGUAUAUUAAAGUUGUUGCGGUUAAAACGUUCGUAGUGGAACUUGUGCUUCAUACGGGUAGUACAACUUACAAUUGUG
rnacentral:ncRNA from 1 species